UUCGGUGAGAGCGAGAAUCAUCUCUCCCAGAUAAUGGCACUCUCAAACAAGUUUCCAAGUUGUUUGAAAGGCUGUUUCUUGGUCAGAAGACUCUCAAUUCCUUCUGGA
ensembl:miRNA Mir488 microRNA 488